rnacentral:snRNA from 1 species
GUGCUUGCUUCAGCAGCACAUACACUAAAACUGGAACAAAACAGAGAAGAUUAGCAUCAUCCCUACACAGAGAUGACACACAAAUUUCGUGAAGGGUUCCAUAUUCUU